rnacentral:rRNA from 1 species
AGUCGAACGGCAGAAUAGAGAGCUUGCUCUCUGAUGGCGAGUGGCGAACGGGUGAGUAAUAUAUCGGAACGUGCCCAGUAAUGGGGAAUAACUAGCCGAAAGGUUAGCUAAUACCGCAUACGACCUACGGGUGAAAGCAGGGGAUCUUUUGACCUUGCGUUAUUGGAGCGGCCGGUAUCUGAUUAGCUUGUUGGUGGGGUAAAAGCCUACCAAGGCAACGAUCAGUAGCUGGUCUGAGAGGACGAUCAGCCACACUGGAACUGAGACACGGUCCAGACUCCUACGGGAGGCAGCAGUGGGGAAUUUUGGACAAUGGGGGCAACCCUGAUCCAGCCAUCCCGCGUGAGUGAAGAAGGCCUUCGGGUUGUAAAGCUCUUUCGAAAGUGAAGAAAACUUAUUUCGUAAUAUGUUAUAAGUAUGACGGUAACUUUAGAAGAAGCACCGGCUAACUACGUGCCAGCAGCCGCGGUAAUACGUAGGGUGCGAGCGUUAAUCGGAAUUACUGGGCGUAAAGCGUGCGCAGGCGGUUUUGUAAGUCAGAUGUGAAAUCCCCGAGCUUAACUUGGGAACUGCGUUUGAAACUACAAGACUAGAGUGUGUCAGAGGGGGGUAGAAUUCCACGUGUAGCAGUGAAAUGCGUAGAGAUGUGGAGGAAUACCAAUGGCGAAGGCAGCCCCCUGGGAUAACACUGACGCUCAUGCACGAAAGCGUGGGGAGCAAACAGGAUUAGAUACCCUGGUAGA